UACCAGCUCUUCGAGUGGUGUGGAUGUUUAUUGGGCCUAAAGCAUCCGUAGCUGGCUGGGCAAGUCCCCUGUUAAAUCCACCGAUUUAAUCGUUGGAGUGCGGGGGAUACUGUUCGGCUAGGGGACGGGAGAGGCAGACGGUAUUUUCGGGGUAGGGGUGAAAUCCUAUAAUCCCGGGAAGACCACCAGUGGCGAAGGCUGUCUGCUAGAACGCGCCCGACUGUGAGGGAUGAAAGCUGGGGGAGCGAACCGGAUUAGAUACCCGGGUAGUCCCAGCUGUAAACGAUGCAGGCUAGGUGUUUGGGCGGCCACGUGCCGCUCUAGUGCCGCAGGGAAGCCGUUAAGCCUGCCGCCUGGGGAGUACGGCCGCAAGGCUGAAACUUAAAGGAUUGGCGGGGAGCACCACGAAGGGGUGAAGCUUGCGGUUU
rnacentral:rRNA from 1 species